UCAAUAUAAAUUGAUUAGUAUUUAUUUAUUGAUUUUAUUUAUUUAGUAUAUAAUUUAUUAAAAAUAAUUGUAAAGUGUGUUGUUUUAGUAAUUUUUAAUGAACAAAUAAUUUUAGUUGUAGUGAAUUAGUACUGUGAAGGAAGAUUGAAAUAGGUUGAAAAAUAGUUAUUUUAAAAGAAGGUUUAAUUUAUUGUACCUUGUGUAUCAGGGUUUAUCAAAUAGAUAACAUAUACCUAUGUUUUUCUCGAUUUUGUAAGAGUUAGUAGUUUAUGAGAGUUAAUGUGUCAAAAUUAUUCUUAAUAAGCUAUUAGAAAUGAAAUGUUAUUCGUUUACGAAGGUAUCUAGUUUUUUUAGAAAUAAAUUUAAUUUAUUGGUUUUAAAUUUUUAACCUUUUUUUUAGGGGAAAAAUUUUUUAAUCAGAAUUUUCUAAGGGAUAAGCUUUGGAAAAUAUUUUUAAAAGUGUAAAUUUGUUAAUAAAAAUGUAUGCAUAGAAUUUGUAAUCAUUGUUAAGUUUGUUAUAAAUUAUUUUUGGUUUCUAUUAUUUAUUUUUCUUUAAGUUUGUAUAAAAAUUUUCAUUUUAAUUGGUAAGAUGAAGUAAAAAUGGUGUAAUUAGUAUAUUUUUUUGUGUAAAUAAUAUUAUUUGAGAAGUUUAUGUAAAGAAUUCGGCAAAUAAAUUAUGCCCGCCUGUUUAACAAAAACAUGUCUUUUUGAGUUAUUUUUAAAGUCUGACCUGCCCAAUGAAUAAUUUUGAAUGGCCGCAGUAUACUAACUGUGCAAAGGUAGCAUAAUCAUUAGUCUUUUAAUUGGAGGCUGGUAUGAAUGGUUGGACGAGGUAUAAACUGUUUCAUGUAAAUUUAUUAUAGAAUUUUAUUUUUUAGUUAAAAAGCUAAAAUUUUAUUAAAAGACGAGAAGACCCUAUAAAUCUUUAUAUUUAUUUUAGUUCAAGUUUUUUGGAUUUAUUUUGUUUUUAUUAAUAUAAAUAUUUUAUUGGGGUGAUAUUAAAAUUUAAUUAACUUUUAAUUUUUAGAGGCAUUGAUUUAUGAAUAAUUGAUCCAUUAAUAGUGAUUAUAAGUUUAAGUUACUUUAGGGAUAACAGCGUAAUUUUUUUGGAGAGUUCAUAUCGAUAAAAAAGAUUGCGACCUCGAUGUUGGAUUAAGGUAUAUUUUUAGGUGUAGCCGCUUAAAUUUUGAGUCUGUUCGACUUUUAGACCCUUACAUGAUCUGAGUUCAAACCGGUG
rnacentral:rRNA from 1 species